UCUGGCCAAUCCUUUGUGAGCUCAGAAGCUAAACAGGGUCAGGCCUGAUUAAAACUUGAAUGGGAGAUCUCUGGGGAAUAGCAAGCUGUCAGAG
rnacentral:rRNA from 1 species